AAACAGGUUGAUGUGUAACAUAUAAUAUACAUCCUCUUUUGUCACACGUGUGAAAGUGAGAAAUGUUUGGUUAUUUUUCUUAUCAAUCAAUGUUUAAAUGGCAGCAUCACUUUUGGAGAUAGGGAUAGGGGAGAAUGUUUGGUUAUUUUUGCAUUGAGGAUUGGCUUGUGUUUGAGGUGGAAGAUUUUCAAUGGGUAACUAUCAAAGAUUAGUGGUGGCAUGGUAAUGAUGCGAUGGAGGAACUCUUACUUUUUGAGAGAAAGUGGGCUAUUAGCAAGUAGCAUCUAUUAUGAGCUUGUAAGAAGCUCUUCAUUCCUUCCACUCCAAUCAAAAGCACACACUUCAAUGCAGAAAAAGAACAUGGAGAGUGAAAGAAUUGAGAAUUUUGACACUUCCUUGGACUGAUCUCUUCUCUAGUAUUGGAAAAUUUUCUCCGUUGCUCUUUUUUUUUAAUAAGCCGUAG
rnacentral:misc_RNA from 1 species